CGGGACACGUGGUAUCCUGUCUGAAUAUGGGGGGACCAUCCUCCAAGGCUAAAUACUCCUGACUGACCGAUAGUGAACCAGUACCGUGAGGGAAAGGCGAAAAGAACCCCGGCGAGGGGAGUGAAAAAGAACCUGAAACCGUGUACGUACAAGCAGUGGGAGCACGCUUAGGCGUGUGACUGCGUACCUUUUGUAUAAUGGGUCAGCGACUUAUAUUCUGUAGCAAGGUUAACCGAAUAGGGGAGCCGAAGGGAAACCGAGUCUUAACUGGGCGUUAAGUUGCAGGGUAUAGACCCGAAACCCGGUGAUCUAGCCAUGGGCAGGUUGAAGGUUGGGUAACACUAACUGGAGGACCGAACCGACUAAUGUUGAAAAAUUAGCGGAUGACUUGUGGCUGGGGGUGAAAGGCCAAUCAAACCGGGAGAUAGCUGGUUCUCCCCGAAAGCUAUUUAGGUAGCGCCUCGUGAAUUCAUCUCCGGGGGUAGAGCACUGUUUCGGCAAGGGGGUCAUCCCGACUUACCAACCCGAUGCAAACUGCGAAUACCGGAGAAUGUUAUCACGGGAGACACACGGCGGGUGCUAACGUCCGUCGUGAAGAGGGAAACAACCCAGACCGCCAGCUAAGGUCCCAAAGUCAUGGUUAAGUGGGAAACGAUGUGGGAAGGCCCAGACAGCCAGGAUGUUGGCUUAGAAGCAGCCAUCAUUUAAAGAAAGCGUAAUAGCUCACUGGUCGAGUCGGCCUGCGCGGAAGAUGUAACGGGGCUAAACCAUGCACCGAAGCUGCGGCAGCGACGCUGAUGCGUUGUUGGGUAGGGGAGCGUUCUGUAAGCCUGUGAAGG
rnacentral:rRNA from 1 species